rnacentral:rRNA from 1 species
UACGUAGGGUGCAAGCGUUGUCCGGAAUUAUUGGGCGUAAAGAGCUCGUAGGCGGCCUGUCGCGUCGGCUGUGAAAACUCAGGGCUCAACCCUGAGCCUGCAGUCGAUACGGGCAGGCUAGAGUCCGGGCAGGGGAGACUGGAAUUCCUGGUGGUAGCGGUGAAAUGCGCAGAUAUCAGGAGGAACACCGGUGGCGAAGGCGGGUCUCUGGGCCGGAACUGACGCUGAGGAGCGAAAGCGUGGGGAGCGAACAGG